rnacentral:rRNA from 1 species
UACGUAGGGUGCAGGCGUUAAUCGGAAUUACUGGGCGUAAAGGGUUCGUAGGCGGUGUGGCAAGUCGGAAGUGAAAUCUCCGAGCUCAACUUGGAGGCUGCUCCGAACUGCCGCGCUAGAGUGCGAGAGAGGCCAGUGGAAUUGCAGGUGUAGCGGUGAAAUGCGUAGAUAUCUGCAGGAACACCGUGGCGAAGGCGCUGCGUGGAUCGCAACUGACGCUGAGGAACGAAAGCUAGGGGAGCAAACAGG